GACGAACGCUGGCGGCGUGCCUAAUACAUGCAAGUCGAGCGAACUUUUGGGAGCUUGCUCCCGAAAGUUAGCGGCGGACGGGUGAGUAACACGUGGGCAACCUGCCUAUAAGACUGGGAUAACUUCGGGAAACCGGAGCUAAUACCGGGAUAAUUCUUUCUACACAUGUAGAAAAGCUAAAAGACGGUUUACGCUGUCACUUAUAGAUGGGCCCGCGGCGCAUUUAGCUAGUUGGUGAGGUAACGGCUCACCAAGGCCACGAUGCGUAGCCGACCUGAGAGGGUGAUCGGCCACACUGGGACUGAGACACGGCCCAGACUCCUACGGGAGGCAG
rnacentral:rRNA from 1 species